UACGUAUGGGGCAAGCGUUAUCCGGAUUUACUGGGUGUAAAGGGAGCGCAGGCGGCUUGGCAAGUCUGAUGUGAAAGGCUGGGGCUCAACCCCAGGACUGCAUUGGAAACUGUUAGGCUAGAGUGUCGGAGAGGUAAGCGGAAUUCCUAGUGUAGCGGUGAAAUGCGUAGAUAUUAGGAGGAACACCAGUGGCGAAGGCGGCUUACUGGACGACAACUGACGCUGAGGCUCGAAAGCGUGGGGAGCAAACAGG
rnacentral:rRNA from 1 species